rnacentral:rRNA from 1 species
UACGGAGGGAGCUAGCGUUGUUCGGAAUUACUGGGCGUAAAGCGCACGUAGGCGGCUUUGUAAGUUAGAGGUGAAAGCCUGGGGCUCAACCCCAGAAUUGCCUUUAAGACUGCAUCGCUUGAAUCCGGGAGAGGUGAGUGGAAUUCCGGAGUGUAGAGGUGAAAUUCGUAGAUAUUCGGAAGAACACCAGUGGCGAAGGCGGCUCACUGGACCGGUAUUGACGCUGAGGUGCGAAAGCGUGGGGAGCAAACAGG